rnacentral:rRNA from 1 species
UACGUAGGGUGCAAGCGUUGUCCGGAAUUAUUGGGCGUAAAGAGCGUGUAGGCGGCUCGGCAAGUCCGCUGUGAAAGUCCAGGGCUCAACCCUGGAAUGCCGGUGGAUACUGCCGGGCUGGAGUCCGGAAGAGGCGAGUGGAAUUCCGUGGUGUAGCGGUGAAAUGCGCAGACUAUCGGGAGGAACACCGGUGGCGAAGGCGGUUCUCUGGGCCUUACCUGACGCUGAGGAGCGAAAGCGUGGGGAGCGAACAGG